rnacentral:lncRNA from 1 species
AGAUGAGAAGGUUGGGACUGUGUGAGACUAAGAGAGGGUGAGCAACAGAGAGAAAAGACCUACCUAUUGAGAAUCGAGAUGAAGUCGUCAGAGUGAGAAAGAGGAGUUGCCGAAGAAGAAGUCGAUCUUCAGGUUGCCGAAGAAGAAGUCGAUCUUCAGGUUGCCGAAGAAGAAGCUAAUCUUCAGGUCAUCGAAGGUACGAACCACGAAGAGCUAGGGUUAGGGUUAGGUUUCUCCCCCAACUUGUUCCCUUUGUUCCCUCUUCAGUCUUCAAUGUGUUUGCGGGGUUAUAAAGUCUUCAACGGUAAGUUGUUUCUAUUUUUUUUUUAUUAGCCACCUUAGCAAACCAAAGGCUCACGCUUUAGUGAGCAAGGCGUCAAAGGCAUUUCCUUUUGUGUUCAAUGUUGUUGUGC